GGGACCAUAGUUAAUAAUAACAUUUGAGUUGCAUUCAAAAAGUACUACCCAUCAGUAGUUGGCCUCA
rnacentral:tRNA from 2 species